rnacentral:tRNA from 1 species
AUCUUUAUAGUUUAAAAAAAAACAUUACACUGAAAAUGUAAAAAUAUUUAAUUAAAGAUAA